UUUUAUAGCUGAGUAUGAAAGACCCCCGAAGGGAGACCCUCACUCAAGCCUCGGGACAGCCGCGGACCCAAGAAGACACUGAGACCG
rnacentral:pre_miRNA from 7 species